CAGUCGCCACGGGAAUACAGAGGGUGCGAGCGUUAAUCGGAUUUACUGGGCGUAAAGCGUGCGUAGGCGGCUUCUUAAGUCGGAUGUGAAAUCCCUGAGCUUAACUUAGGAAUUGCAUUCGAUACUGGGAAGCUAGAGUAUGGGAGAGGAUGGUAGAAUUCCAGGUGUAGCGGUGAAAUGCGUAGAGAUCUGGAGGAAUACCGAUGGCGAAGGCAGCCAUCUGGCCUAAUACUGACGCUGAGGUACGAAAGCAUGGGGAGCAAACAGGAUUAGAUACCCCAGUAGUCCUUGUCUCUUAUAC
rnacentral:rRNA from 1 species